ensembl:snRNA U6 U6 spliceosomal RNA
GCGCUUGCUUGGGCAGCACAUAUACUAAAACUGGAGUUGUACAGGGAAGAUUAGUGUGGUCCCCGUGCAAGGAUGACACACAAAUUCGUGAAGUGUUCCAUAUUAAA